UUCCAUAGUAACAUAUCAAGUGCACCUGCGAACAUAGUUCGUCGGUGAGAGAGGGAAUCAGGUGUGAGUCCUGAGCGAUCCGGUCACUGUAAUCAGGGAGGAAAGCCCGGUAGGAUCCAUUGUACCGCAAGGUAUGAGAAGGAGGGCCGACUGUUGAUCUGUAAGUCAGGAAACCUGCUUGUAUGUCGUAAGGUUA
rnacentral:ncRNA from 2 species